rnacentral:ncRNA from 1 species
CCACUAUUCCGUUAGUGGUAGCCUAAUACCACCUGCUUUGCUAGUAAUAGCAAUGUUAGGAAGCUGGUAUGACAAUGUAGCCCUCCACGAAAAGUGGUUAAGUCAAAGCCGUGAGGCAAAGACAAAUCUGCAAGCAACAAUGCGGUUAGGG